rnacentral:rRNA from 1 species
CGUGUCCCGGACUGCGUGUAUCCGAAGAAAAAGCAUCGGCUAACUCCGUGCCAGCAGCCGCGGUAAUACGGAGGAUGCGAGCGUUAUCCGGAUUUAUUGGGUUUAAAGGGUGCGUAGGCGGUCCGUUAAGUCAGCGGUAAAAUUGCGGGGCUCAACCCCGUCGAGCCGUUGAAACUGGCAGACUUGAGUUGGCGAGAAGUACGCGGAAUGCGCGGUGUAGCGGUGAAAUGCAUAGAUAUCGCGCAGAACUCCGAUUGCGAAGGCAGCGUACCGGCGCCAGACUGACGCUGAGGCACGAAAGCGUGGGGAUCGAACAGGAUUAGAUACCCUGGUAGUCCACGCAGUAAACGAUGAAGGCUGGUUGUCCGGGUCGAAUGAGAUCUGG